CAUUCCAGUGCGGAAGAUGCUCCUCUCCAAUAUAUUAUCUCUCCAGUUGGUCCAGCACAUACAUAUUUAAUCAAAUGUGUCAGUUUCAAAAUCUAAUGGUCCAUAUUUAUUGAAAUAAAAAGAAAACCUGUGAACCAUGAUUAAAUAACCAGCCUCUUAAACCAAAUAAUGGUCAAAGAUCGCUGGCUAAAAAGACAUCUUUUACCGCGAAAAUCUUGGAGAAACGCAGCAAUUAUCAACUAGUUCAGAAGACUAAAUCACCUAGAUGGUACAACAAUAAUCAAAUAUAACAAGAAAAUAGAAUAUUAGUUGAUGAGUAGAAGUUUUUCCGGCGAUUAAGUGACGAAACCAAAACAGGAAAUGCAACAUGUGACCUUAACAACACCACAAGAGAGUCAAGCUUCUGAACAAGCACAACAAUUCAUUGAUGAUGAAUGGGCCGACAAGGUAAAGAGGAAAA